AUUGAACGCUGGCGGCAUGCUUUACACAUGCAAGUCGAACGGUAACAGGCCGCAGGGUGCUGCCGUGUGGAGGACGGGUGGAUAAUGCAUCGGAACGUGCCCAGCCGUGGGGGAUAACUACUCGAAAGAUUAGCUAAUACCGCAUACGCGCUAUGGAUGACAGCAGGAGACCGUAAGACCUCGCGCGCUUUUGGCGUCCGAUGUCAGAUUAGGUAGUUGGUGGGGUAAAGGCUCACCAAGCCAACGAUCUGUAGCUGGUCUGAGAGGACGACCAGCCACACUGGGACUGAGACACGGCCCAGACUCCUACGGGAGGCAGCAGUGGGGAAUUUUGGACAAUGGGCGCAAGCCUGAUGCAGCAAUGCCGCGUGUAGGAAGAAGGCCUUCGGGUUGUAAACUGCUUUUGUACGGAACGAAACGGCUCUGGUUAAUACCCGUGGCUAAUGACGGUACCGUAAGAAUAAGCACCGGCUAACUACGUG
rnacentral:rRNA from 1 species